rnacentral:misc_RNA from 1 species
UUAACUAUUAGAUAGUACUCAGACAUCACUAACAUUCAGAGUUUGGUUCUCUGGCGGGCACACACGAGCAGAGCCCGCAGUGGAGGCCACGGCCCGCCAAAGCAACAAUAGUAUGUAAACACGGGUGGGUGUAAGCUCCUAACCGCUGUUUCCAACGUUCGGUAGCCUCACUUGUAAUGAUCCUUCCGCAGGUUCACCUACGGAAA